AUGUCAGUGGCUCUGUGGUAGAAUGCUCGCCUUCCACGCGGGCGGCCCGGGUUCGAUUCCCGGCCGAUGCA
rnacentral:tRNA from 1 species